rnacentral:rRNA from 1 species
CGCACGGGUGAGUAACACGUGAGUGACCUGCCUUUUAGACUGGAACAACUUACCGAAAGGUGAGCUAAUGCCGGAUGAGUUAUAUAAGUGCAUGUUUAUAUAGGAAAAGUUGGGGAGACCUGACGCUGAAAGAUGGACUCGCGUCCCAUUAGCUAGUUGGUAGGGUAAUGGCCUACCAAGGCGACGAUGGGUAGCCGGCCUGAGAGGGUGGCCGGCCACAUUGGGACUGAGACACGGCCCAAACUCCUACGGAAGGCAGCAG